rnacentral:lncRNA from 1 species
ACAGUAAAGCACAGUAAAAUGAGGUGUGUCUGUAUGGACACGUGUCAGCUUCUCAAAUUGUAAACUUUAAAUAUGUGCAUUUUAUUUGGUGUCAAUUGUAUAAAGCGAUUAAAUUUUUAAAAGGACUGAUGCAGACAGCACCUGGCAUCUGGGAUAAAGUGUAUCAUUUUCCUCUUUAUGGCAGGAACUGCCACGCCCCCUGUUUUCAUGCUGCUGGAGACCAGCCGGCAGGUGGGGGGCAGUGGCUCUCCUUGUCAAUCCUGGGCAUGCAGGUGACAGUGCAGGGAGAGUGCCCUUCCCACAUGGCCCACGUUUGUAGCCACAGCUGUCCCUGCAAAAACUGUGCAGCCUGAAGUGAAUUAACAAGACAGUUUUCAGAUCUUCACUUGCUUGUGGGUUUCACAUGUCACAUUUAACCUCCAGUUACAUCGACUUUUUCAAACCCCACUUAGGCAUCUUAGAAUUUUAUCAUUUGCAUUCUUUUAUGUUGAAUAAGAGAGUUGUAGUACAUGCCCCACUGUCUGCUUUCUGAAACAUCCAGGUUGGAGUUAGCGCCUUCACACACUCUCCCUGGAAGCACCAGGCGCCAUCCUCAGUGCAGCGGCAAGGCGGUGUCGGGGCUCUCUGCCCCCAGGUCUCUCCCCGCCUGGUUCCAUUGGCUGCUGGGAAGGAUGUUUGGAUGGGAGGUCUUUGUGUUUUCAGGCAGGAAAUAUUAUUUGCUCCGCUAGCCCUAGGCCUUACUAAUUUACUGUGCAGUCUUCAACAAAUUUCUUGAUCUUCUGCUCUCUGUUUUCUCAUCUGUAAAAUUGAGGGCAGUGAGCAAGGUGACCUGUAGGUCCCAGGAGUGCCAAGGUAGUGCCGUAUUUAGUACCAGGUUUUCCUAAGAGGAAAUGGGGGCUACUUGGGGUCAAAACAAAGGAGAGUCUUUCUAGAUAGGGAAGGACUAGCAGUGGGUCAAAACUUGCCAAGAAGGACUAUGAAGGGAGCUUUGCUUGGGGUUUAAAAGCUCUGAUCACAGACUUGGAGGGGCUCAAACCCCUCGCUUUAGAAGGCAGAAACCAAGAACCACUAAGGACCUAGGACUUGCUGACGGUGUCUUUGGAGUUAAAGGUGGAACUGAAGUUAGAGCUGAUUUUCUUCCUGUCACAUCCAGUAAGACUGGGAAUGGUUGGGUGCCAGAGGCAGGUUCCAGAAGGUGGGAAGAGUCCUGUCUGCAUCCCCAGGGUCCUAACCUUGAGGAAAGCUUGCUGUCCUUUUGUCCUGCUUCACACUCCCUUUGGUUAAAGGUUUCACUCAGAGCCCGAUGGAAACCUUCAGGAAAAAAGGGCCCCAAACCGAGGCGAGGACACUGGGGAAGCCUUGGGUGGUUUCUGUGUGGGGCGGCCCCUGCUCUGUGAAGCACAGGGGAAUAGGACUCCAUCGCUGUCAUCGUCACUCAUGCCCUGGUGCAGACCUGCAGGAACAUUGCCUGCUGUAUACAGGGCAAAUGGGCACUGUGCCGGGAGAAGCCUGUAGGAAGAGAGACCUGGAGGGAUGAGGAGGGAACUCCGACCAUGAGCAUGCACGGAGCUCCGUGAAGGAGGGCCUUGACAGACAGAGGCAUGGUGGGUGGAGACGGGUGGAGAACAUCCGGGCAGAACACAGAGCAUGCGCCGUGGCGUGCUGGCAGGGACGUAUAUGCUGUGUAAAGGCAGGGAGUAGGUCCAGGUGCCCUGGGAAGAGUGUGUGUAGAGAAACGUCGUGGAAGAGGAGACGCCAAGGAAGACCCGAUGCGAGGUCAUGGCUGGUUUGCGUGCUUUGUGGAAACUGCCAUAGACUGGCUUUUGUCAGCAAUGGCAGAGAGAGGGGGUUGCAUUUUUCUCCUUUUAGUUUGCUUUUGAGGUCUCCCUCUCUCUGUAGAGUGGCUGUGAACUCCAGCCCUGCCCUGAUGGGGCUCCAGGGGAGGUGGUUGUGCAUGUUUAUGAUGUGCCUUCACGGGGUACUUCUUUAUCCUGGUGGAUGGCAGAAUCCCUGUGUCUGACCUGUGCCCAGGUCUCUCAUGAGAAACUUGUUUACCCUCUUAGAUACCCUUGAGUCUCUUGUCUGUGUCUGGUGUAUUUAUUUAUUUAGCCUACCAAGAUAGCCACUCUUCAGGAGAGUUCUGAAUUUGGAAAGAAGUUAGGAUCAGGUGUGUUGGUCAAGUGAGACACAGAGGAGGCCACUCAACAAAACCCAUGAAAUACCAGAAGCAGUGAGUUCCUCGCAGGUCCAGAGAGAAGAGGGCAGCACGCUGGACUGGGGGAGCCGUCAGGACCCUUGUGCUCGCCAGCAGGUGGGGAGCAAGAGAGAUGGAGUGUGGGCCCUGAGAGCUGAAGCCUUUAUGGGGUCCAGGCCAUCACCCCAGCAGGUUCCCAAGAAGUUGUAAUUCGUUGGCUUAGAUCAGGUAGGCACAAGUUACGGGAGGCCAUGUUGUGAGGGAGAGGUGGUCAUGGCAGCAUAUCUGGGCAGUCCAUGCCGGGUGUGAGGGUCUGCAGGGUGGGUCAAGUAGGUUGCAUCUAGCUGUCCCUUAGGGACUUGGUCACCAGGAGGCAGCUAUAUAAGGCACAUCUCUGGAUCGACCAUUUUGAGGGCCUGGGAAGAGGUGGAGACGUGGAAACUUUCAAGGAUGACUAAGCCCUGCUUCUGGUAUGAGAAAGUCCAACAUAUAUUCAAAAUAGGUACCAAGAAAGCAUAACAUUGUAAGAAUUCACUGCAGUGGAUCAUCUGAAGGGUCUAAGGUGAGAAAUGAAUAUGUAGUGUAGAAGUUGAAGAGGCAUCCACAGGAAUGAUCUCUAAUGAACUGGAUCUGCCUCCAAGAUAGAGAUCAAAAUUGGUUUAAAACAAAUACAAGCCAGGUGCAGUGGAUCACGCCUGUAAUUCCAGCACUUUGGGAGGCCAAGGCAGGAGAAUCACUUGAGGCGAGGAGUUGGAGCCUAGCCUGGGCAAUAUAGUACGACCCUGUCUUUACUAAAAAUGCAAAAAUUAACCACGUAUGGUGGCUCACACCUGUAGUCCUGGCUACUGAGGAGGCUGAUGCAGGAGAAUCAUUUGAACCCAGGAGGUCAAGGCUGCAGUGAGCUAUGAUUGCACCACUGCAAUCCAGCCUGGACAACACAGUGAGACCCUGCCUCAAAAAAAUUAUAUUCUGAUUUUCUGAGUCCAUGAACACAUUGUCCAAAUGGAUUUUUCUAGCUCCUCCAAGUUACAGAUAGUUCCACGCACACACAGAACUCACCACUCUCAAAUAUUUUCCCCACUAGUAUACUAUUAAAUUUUUCAAACAUGCAAAAGAUGAAAGAAUUGCUCAGUGAACACCAUGUACCCACCACCUAGAUUCUACAAUUAACAUUUUACCCUACUUUCUUUAUCACAUAUAUGUACCUAUCCAUCUAUCCAUUCUUCCAUGAAUCCAUCAAUUCAUCUAAUUUUUUAUAUAUUUCAAGUUAAGUUGCAGAUAUGUAGCUUAUGUUUCACCUUAAAUGUUUCUGCCUGGCUAUUAUUAACUGGAGUGCAAUAUGUUUUUGGUUCUUCUUUAUGGUAAAAUCUAUGUUCAGUGAAAUGCACAAGACUUAGGUAUGCCAUUAAUAGGUUUUGACGAAUAGACAAACCUUGUGUCUGAAACUGUAAUAAAAAAAUCAAACACU